rnacentral:rRNA from 1 species
UACGGAGGGGGCUAGCGUUGUUCGGAAUUACUGGGCGUAAAGCGCACGUAGGCGGCUUUGUAAGUUAGAGGUGAAAGCCCGGGGCUCAACUCCGGAAUUGCCUUUAAGACUGCAUCGCUAGAAUUGUGGAGAGGUAAGUGGAACUCCGAGUGUAGAGGUGAAAUUCGUAGAUAUUCGGAAGAACACCAGUGGCGAAGGCGACUUACUGGACACAUAUUGACGCUGAGGUGCGAAAGCGUGGGGAGCAAACAGG